GACGUAGGGCGCGAGCGUUGUCCGGAUUUAUUGGGCGUAAAGAGCUCGUAGGCGGCUUGUCGCGUCGACUGUGAAAUCCCGCGGCUCAACUGCGGGUCUGCAGUCGAUACGGGCAGGCUAGAGUUCGGUAGGGGAGACUGGAAUUCAUGGUGUAGCAGUGAAAUGCGUAGAGAUCAUGAGGAAGACCAGUGGCGAAGGCGGGUCUCUGGACAGUUCCUGACACUGAGACACGAAGGCCAGGGGAGCAAACGGG
rnacentral:rRNA from 1 species